rnacentral:rRNA from 1 species
CGCACGGGUGAGUAACACGUGAAUAAUCUACCUUUUGAGUGGGGAAUAACUGAGAGAAAUCUUAGCUAAUACCGCAUAAUACCUACGGGUCAAAGCAGCAAUGCGCUUGAAGAGGAGUUCGCGGCAGAUUAGUUAGUUGGCGGGGUAAUGGCCCACCAAGACGAUGAUCUGUAUCCGGCCUGAGAGGGCGCACGGACACACUGGAACUGAAACACGGUCCAG